UCCACUUCUCGGCGUGGAGGAAGUUUCUUCGGCAGCUCUGGCGGCAUAACAUCUUUAAACUCAUCAAGCACGCCUCGGAUAGGGCUUGGAAGUGUAGGUUCAUCAACAUGGGUACCUUCUUCCACUUUAAGGGUUGCUAGGAAGGUUGGCUCCUUCCUUUUUACCCCUUUUGAGAGCUGUAUGGCCGACACCAUCUUAUCUUGACUUAACUCCCUUUUUAUCGGCACAACACAAGGUUGGCCAUUCUCCAUUAUGCACAUGGUGUUGGC
rnacentral:lncRNA from 1 species